rnacentral:misc_RNA from 1 species
GGAAAAUUAUAUAAUUUUUGCAUCAAGCUCUCUAACAGUCGAUUUCGUUUCAAAAAAAAGAAAAAAAAAAGCAAUUCAUUGAGAAAAAAAUCUCAGUGAAGAAAAAAAAUUAUAUUAUUUUUUUUAUAGAAUACGCAAUAAAAAUAUUACGUCGUUAAAGAAAUUCUUUGUAAAAAACUCACCAGAAAAAUUCAGUGAGAAAAAUCUUGAUUAAGGAAUUAUGUGUAUAUUAAAAAGUUGAGGGAAGUGCUUUGGUGAAUAAAUGUGCAAAUGCAAUAUUAUCAAUUGAGCAAAUUUGUUACAAUUCUUUUGAAAAUCAUAAGUGAAAAAUUUUUAGUGAAAUAUACUUCAUCCUGACUCUUUUAAUGUAAUAUUCUUUCAACUGAUGUAUCCAACCAAUAUUAUUUCCAUAUAAUGUUGUUGGAAUUUCUCAGUAGAUAAAUCAUAUUUACACUAUAUAAUUUGUAUGCUAGGAAGCCA